rnacentral:rRNA from 1 species
UACUGAGUUACCGCUCUAUAACCCUUUGUGAACAUACCUAACCGUUGCUUCGGCGGGCAGGGGAAGCCUCUCGCGGGCCUCCCCUCCCGGCGCCGGCCCCACCACGGGGACGGGGCGCCCGCCGGAGGAAACCAAACUCUAUUUACACGACGUCUCUUCUGAGUGGCACAAGCAAAUAAUUAAAACUUUUAACAACGGAUCUCUUGGUUCUGGCAUCGAUGAAGAACGCAGCGAAAUGCGAUAAGUAAUGUGAAUUGCAGAAUUCAGUGAAUCAUCGAAUCUUUGAACGCACAUUGCGCUCGCCAGCAUUCUGGCGAGCAUGCCUGUUCGAGCGUCAUUUCAACCCUCAAGCACCGCUUGGUUUUGGGGCCCCACGGCACACGUGGGCCCUUAAAGGUAGUGGCGGACCCUCCCGGAGCCUCCUUUGCGUAGUAACUAACGUCUCGCACUGGGAUCCGGAGGGACUCUUGCCGUAAAACCCCCCAAUUUUUUACAGGUUGACCUCGGAUCAGGUAGGAAUACCCGCUGAACUUAAGCAUAUCAAUAAGCGGAGGAAAAAC